UACGUAGGGUGCGAGCGUUAAUCGGAAUUACUGGGCGUAAAGCGCGCGUAGGCGGCUUUGCAAGUCAGGGGUGAAAUCCCACAGCUUAACUGUGGAACUGCCUUUGAAACUGCAAGGCUGGAAUGUGAGAUGGGAUGGCGGAAUUCCUAAUGUAGAGGUGAAAUUCGUAGAUAUUAGGAGGAACACCGGUGGCGAAAGCGGCCAUCUGGAUCACAAUUGACGCUGAAGUGCGAAAGCGUGGGUAGCAAACAGG
rnacentral:rRNA from 1 species